ensembl:lncRNA
CUUCUCUCUCUCUCACUAACAAUCCCUCUCCCGCUAUUUCUCUAUUUUUUCCUCUAACAAGGCUCGUUGCUGUAGAACUCAAGUGCUCCAGCCCCUGGAUGGCGAUAUCAUGCGAGCCAGUAGAUCAACUCCAACUUUCUUCUUUUUCUAAAUACACGAAGCCGUCACUUUCACACUUGAUCAAUAACAAAUGGGGUGUUGUCUGCCAGGAAGAGCUUGCCAGAUACCGAAGGGAAAAGCAUUCCAUGUUAUGUAGACUAUACGCUGUUCUUUUUCCAUGGCUUAUUGUUUCUUAUGAGCGCAAAACUUGUCCUUUUGAAUCGAUGCCUCGUAACAACCUACUGACUGUCGGUGAUACAUAAGUUCAAAUCCGCUACGGGAGCUAAAAGGGGCGACGGUUUUUGAUUUCUUUUGUGAACACACAUGGUUACGCAAGAAGCAUUUUGCAUUGUUAGGGCAGAAUUCACAGUGUGUGAGAGAAUGCUUCAGGCUAUCCCGACUCGAGGCUGGCAAAGUUGUUCUCCCUGUUGUGACUACAAGAACAGAAAUGGCACGCCCCAGCACCAGGUCUCUCCUGCUGGAGUCGGGGGAAGGUGUGUGUGUGUGUUGUGUGUGUUGUGGGGGGGGUUCACUGUGUGUGUGUGUGUGUGUGUGUGUGCGUGUGAGAGAGAGAGAGAGAAAGAGCGGUUGAAGAUGAAACAGCCGUGGAGGAGGCGCUGAUCACACAGCCAGACAAGCAGGGCCCGGGCCUGAUGAGUGCCUGUUAUAAAUCAGAGGGGGGAAGCGUCCGGCUGAUCCUCGUGUGUGCUGUUAUCUUUGGAGUCAUUCAACUGUCCCGCUGGCUCUCCACAACACCUUAUUAUGUCAAAGAGUUUAUUAAAGCACCGUUGGGACGGCAUCCGUUUGCUUUGACGUUAUUGGAGGAUGAAGACAUAAUUCACUUCCUGUUUCAGGGCAUGGAGGAGAGCAGCAGCAGGUUUCACUUUCCAGAUAAAUCAAAGAGGGACUCACUGUCUUCAUUCUUACUUCCCCUCUUUCCUUUGUCCAACUGGUUAGGCAAGCCUGAACAUGGAUUGCUAAAUGUAGCA